GAUUAGCGACUUGUGCAUCAAGUGAUGGACUUGCGAAGAGCAUUUGGUGGUCUGUCAGUACCGGAUUAGGUUUGAGGGGACAAAUUGUUUAGCUCAGUUGGCAUUGUCAGUUGGAUCUUUUGGUCAGGUGGAAAAUGAGGUCUUGGACCUAGGACUAUAGAUUGUCGCAUGUGACUUUCCGUUAAUGGAGGUUUGACUUUGGCUGUUUGUGUGAUAACUGGUGGGAGACUGUGGUCUUCGAGGUGAGUGUUAUUGACUCGUGUUUCUUCAGCGUGAGCUAGCGACGUAGUCGAGUCGGUUAUGGCUACACGGACCAAGAUAGAGUGGAUUUAGUGUUUCUGGGUGAUGAACUGUUAUCUCAGAAUUUGCAAAUUAGGAUCGAAUAAUCCUAGUCGCGGUUUUGUUUUUGUCCGCAGGUUAUAGGAUGGUGUUGAUCCCGAUGAGUUUUGGUCUGUGGUUUUUGGG
rnacentral:lncRNA from 1 species